rnacentral:misc_RNA from 1 species
GACGAGGGGUCCAAGCGUUGUUCGGAAUCAUUGGGCGUAAAGCGGGUGUAGGCGGCCUUGUAAGUCAGGAGUGAAAGUCCCGGGCUCAACUCGGGAAGUGCUCUUGAUACUGUAAGGCUUGAAUGUGGGAGAGGAUCGUGGAAUUCCAGGUGUAGUGGUGAAAUACGUAGAUAUCUGGAGGAACACCGGUGGCGAAGGCGGCGAUCUGGCCCAACAUUGACGCUGAGACCCGAAAGCAUGGGGAUCAAACAGG